GCCCUUCUUUACUGGAAGAGCUGCAGCUGACAUCCAGAGGCCCUGAGAAUUUGGCCAGUCACAGUGACAAGAAUUAGAAGAAUGUAUCAGGAGGAAAUAGCGGUUGGAUUUUUUUUUCUCAUUUUCCUUUCACUCUGGUCUGAGCGCUGAAGUGUCGGUGCAGUAGUCGUGUUGAAGUGAAAUGGGGGACCUCUCUUGUGCCCAGUGGGUUACAAUGAUAAAUAGCAGCAAUUGCUUUCCUAAUCGCUUGGACUGGGUAUCUGUUUUGGAGGAAGCCCAUCUGAUUAGAGGUGCAUCUAGGAUUUCCCUAUCCUGGACAGAGAGUUUAUUCAGAUGAGCUUCUUGGAGAAACCUAAGGCCGUUAUCUGUGGAAUCGGGAGUCAGUUGGUAAAGUUUUUGGAAGUGAGAUGCCAUCACGUCUGUGAUGUCAUUUGUACUACGAGCCAAUCCAGUGGGAGUUUUGAGUUUCUGGAGUUUGUUUUUUUGACUAAAUUCGCCAAUAGUUUCCCAGAUUUAUUUCCCCAUCGGUAAUAUCUAUUUGCAGUAUGGUUUAAUUUAUGUUGCAUCUGUUCAGUCAAUAAAGUAUUGAAAAGAG